UACGUAGGGGGCAAGCGUUGUCCGGAUUUAUUGGGCGUAAAGAGCGUGUAGGCGGCUUUACAGGUCCGUUGUGAAAACUCGAGGCUCAACCUCGAGACGCCGGUGGAAACCAUCAGACUAGAGUCCGGAAGAGGAGAGUGGAAUUCCUGGUGUAGCGGUGAAAUGCGCAGAUAUCAGGAAGAACACCCGUGGCUAAGGCGGCUCUCUAGUACGGUACUGACGCUGAGACGCGAAAGCGUGGGGAGCGAACAGG
rnacentral:rRNA from 1 species